AGCAAACCCAGAAGGACCGCAAGCGAGAUGCUCCUCACCGCCCAGAUGUUUCGGAGGCCCAGCAAAUCAGAGAUUGAUUCUGCAAAGCCGAGGACCUGUGAUGAAGCAUGUUGCCUACUUCCUGACAGAUUAUGGACUCAAGAUGAAGAAUGAGACAUAAUGAGCCACUGCCUUGGUGUAGGCCCUCCUCAUGUCACACCUGGAUUGCUUCUAGGACCUGCUGGUCAAUCCGUCCCUCUCCAGUGUCUUCCCCACACCAAGCCAUCCUCCAUUCAACCAUCGAACUGGUCUUCCGAAGUCAUAUGUCUGUCAAUGUCACUCACCUCUUCAAUAAACUCAGUGGCUCACUAUCACCUCUCAGAUCAAAGAGAAAGUCCUCUAUCUGGAACCCAAUGCCCUUCAUGACCUUUCCAGUCUUCCUACACCUUACUCCACUUACUCUGACUGUCCAUUGCACAAGACACUCCAUCCCCCAACUCCAGGGAUUUUCACUGGCUGUCCCCCAUGCAUAAAAUUCCCUCAAUGGUCAUUCCUACCUCCUGGCUUCCUGGCUAAGUCCAGCUAAAAUCCUACCUUCUGCAAGAAGUCUUUCUUGAUCUCCUUUAAUGCUUGUCACUUCCCUCUGGGAUUAUCUCCGAUUUAUCCUGAAUAGAGCUUGUUUGUACAUAGCUGUUUGCAUGUUGUCCCUCCCAUUAGACUGUGAGAGAGCAGGGAGUACCUCCUGCCUGUCUUUGUAUUCUCAGGGCUUAACACAGUGUCUGGUACACAAUGGGAGCAUAAUAAAUGAGAACUGACUUGUUGGCUUUA